AGUGAACGCUGGCGGCAGGCCUAACACAUGCAAGUCGAACGGCAGCACAGUAAGAGCUUGCUCUUACGGGUGGCGAGUGGCGGACGGGUGGGGAAUACAUCGGAAUCUACUUUUUCGUGGGGGAUAACGUAGGGAAACUUACGCUAAUACCGCAUACGACCUACGGGUGAAAGCAGGGGAUCUUCGGACCUUGCGCGAUUGAAUGAGCCGAUGUCGGAUUAGCUAGUUGGCGGGGUAAAGGCCCACCAAGGCGACGAUCCGUAGCUGGUCUGAGAGGAUGAUCAGCCACACUGGAACUGAGACACGGUCCAGACUCCUACGGGAGGCAGCAGUGGGGAAUAUUGGACAAUGGGCGCAAGCCUGAUCCAGCCAUACCGCGUGGGUGAAGAAGGCCUUCGGGUUGUAAAGCCCUUUUGUUGGGAAAGAAAAGCAGCAGGUUAAUACCCCGCUGUUCUGACGGUACCCAAAGAAUAAGCACCGGCUAACUUCGCG
rnacentral:rRNA from 1 species